UGCAUUUUCAUGAUGUAGUUUAGAUUUCUGUUCCAUAUUAAUUUCAUAUUUCAUAUUAAAGAAUGUGGACUUAAUUAAAAUAGGAGAAAAUCAUAUAGAGCUCUAGCGGUUCUGAUGAUGGUGUUUUGGAUGUUCGAGGAGAUUUGAUUCAAAUUUAUGGAUUUGGUUUUUCCUGUAGCGAAAGGAUUGUUUUGUUGCAAGGAGCAAUGCUGUCCUACAAUCUGUUUAGGGCUUGGACCUAGUUCUUUCAAGUUUGGGUGCUGUGAGUUUUAAUUCCAGAAGCAAAGUACCCUUAAUUGGCUGCGUUUGGACUCUCAAGCUGUAUAUUGCCCUGUUACUGUUCACGAAUAUUCGGAUAAGCGUUCUAAUUUCAUAGGGAUAGCUGUUAGGCAGCAUCUUCAAUGUUUAUGGUGGAAAAUGGAAUCUGCAACCGAUAAGGCCAAGUAUAGACACUGGUACCAUGUUUGGUUGGUUUAUUCUGCUUUUUUGUUCUUCUGAAUUCUUCUCUUCUCUGAACUUAUGAAAGAAUUCCUGAUGAUGUCACAAUGUUUUACACUAAACUCGGAGUGCCAAUAAAGACCACCGUACAGCUACUGUCUUGGAGGAGGCACUAAACGGCGUGGUCACUACCCGUCCACUUCCAUUGGGGCAGAAAAAGGUUGAAAAGCAAUGUGAUCACUUCUAUUCCUUUACAAUAACCGAAGCGGAAGCAAGAGGUGAAUUUGUCUGCCAAGGGCAGUCGCUUGCAAAGGCAAGUUCAAGCUAUAAUACUUUGAUCAGGAAGAGGUUGGUGGAUUGAGCCUUUGCCUACAGAGGCUUCCUGGGUUUGUAAGAUGGUUUUAUCAAGUCUUCAUCCAUACAGGGGCAACGAGGAUGGGAGUUGAAGUCGAACGCAUCCAUGACACAGAUUCGAAGGUUAUUCAGUAAGUCACUGAUUACGUCAGAUAAAACUGCCUUCAUUUCUUUUUGUGUCCAUGGUCUAAUUUUACUUGGGUGAUUUAAUUCUAUGUGAUGAUUUCUUCUAGGUUUUUUCCAUUUUAUAUUUUAAAUACGUUUAAGGUUUGAGGGAGUCAACGAUGAAAUUUUGGAUGCCGAAAAGAAGAAGACUGGUAUUAUUUCUUCUUUCUUUUUGAGUGAGAAUUUCUUUCUUUUCUAUUGAUUUUGCUUCUUUCUUUUUGUUGUCAAAUGUUUCAAAAUUCGACUCGCAUGUUCAUGUACAUUGUUGAGGAGUGUAUUUUGCCAUUACUAUGCCAUUAUUCUGUCUUUUCAAUAAUUGUUUCUUAAUUUUUCUUCGUAGUCUUUUUCGCAGGACCUUAUAAGCAUAGCAAAGCUUUUUGAAACAAAUUUUUAUAAUGUGUUGCGAAAUGGAUGAUGCAAUAAAAAAAGAAAUACGUUGUGGGUAUCUUUACACGCUAUAAUAGGUUUUCUUUUUGGCAAGUUUGCUUUCUCAUUUGCAUUUAUGGUGCCGUUAUCAUUUACAUUUGCUUCUGCAUGAUUUCUCAUAAAUUGGAUAUCAUUGUAUUUAUUGUAUUUUAACUUUUUUAGCCAAGAAACUGAUUUCAUUCAACAACAGAUUCAUCAAUUACAGGCUGCAAGUGUAAGAUGGUGAAGGCAUCGCCAGUGCCUUCAAAUGAUCGCUUCAUUUUAUUUAUUUUUUGGUUUUUGACAGAUUACAUUAGAUUUUAUUAUUGUUUAUUUGACGAAGUUCUCGAUUAAGAGCAACUACACUUGCAUUAUUCUUCGGGACUAGCAACUGUGAUGGUAUAGUGGCAGAUUUUCUGAUUUACGUCCGAAUUUGAGCAGUUUAUUGGAUCAUAUAGGAAAGAUGAAAAGGGAAUAUAAGAUGAUGUCGAAGAAAGCCUUGCAAAGAGGCUGCCUGCUUAAUUUAGGUACUACAA